rnacentral:lncRNA from 1 species
CAUUUUCUAAUGACAAUGUUUUGAAAAAAUUGACUGUUCCAUUAAACUAUUGUAGACAAGAUCAUUUGACUGAAAUCGAUUGGUGGCAAUACGCUAGCAUAAAUUAAAACCAAUGCGAAACAAUUUCCAAAAAUGGUUCAAGCUAAGUUUAGCAAAUUGGGAAAAAAUUGAAAUUUACUGCUUAAGGCGACCUACUUGUGCAAGACUCUGCUUGAUGCUCUGACGACGGAAAGAAUAUCAAAAUAAAAUGUAGAUUGAUUAAUAGGAGAACAUUUAAAGAGAG